GACUAAGGCUGUACCACCCUGAGAAUGCCUGAUCUCAUCUGAUCUUGAAAGUCAGGCAAGGACAGGCUCAGUUAGUACUUGAAUAAAAGAUCACCUGGGAAUACCAUGCACUGUAGGCU
rnacentral:rRNA from 1 species